CUUUAUCCCACACUGGAGAUCCGAAAGACAGACAGUGGCUGAUGUGCAAGUGACAGUGGCUUUAAGAAGAAAGGCCAGUGGUUUUUUUAAAAAAUGGAUACGAGGGCUUCCCUGGUGGCGCAGUGGUUGAGAGUCCGCCUGCCGAUGCGGGGGACACGGGUUCGUGCCCCGGUCCGGGAAGAUCCCACAUGCCACGGAGUGGCUGGGCCCGUGAGCCAUGGCCGCUGAUCCUCUGCGUCCGGAGCCUGUGCUCCGCAACGGGAGAGGCCACAACAGAGAGAGGCCCGCGUACCGAAAAAAAAAAAAAAAAAAAUGGAUACAAGAUGGAACUGAUGAAUGUUAAAGAAGGAAAGCCGUAGCAUCUUAGAGAAUCUCACUAAGGUUGUGAGAAUCUCCUCAACGGGCUGAAAACUACCAGCAACAAACAGCUUAGGAAUAAUACUUUUUAAACAGUGAGUGAUCAAAUUUAGUGUGUGGCAGUUUGUCAAUAAAGCUGCAUGUUCAAGUUGUAACACAUCGGUGUCAAACUACGUGAUGGGCAUGGAUGGUAGAAAAAUCUGAUGGUGAAUAUCAAAACAGCUGUGAAAAAAGAAAUGGAGAGGAGAGCGGGGAAGGUUCACUCAGAGAGAAGGGAAGCUGGCCUGGCCCUGAGUCUGCUGCGUUUACAUCUUCCCCAGAAGGAGCAGAAGGCCCACGCGCGCCCAGCCCCGUAGACCCUGCCUCCCCGGGCCUCUGUGCAGGCCUCUGGUCCGGAUCCUGCUGACAGCGAUGAGCCAUCAGGUGAUCCGCCAUGGCGUGUCUCCUAGGAGAGGAAGCCUUCAGCACAUGCUUAUUCGACUAUGCUGCCAACAAUCGCCGAUGCCAAAAGGAGUGUCAGACGCUGGGUCAGAGAUGGCAAGGACACUCUCUGCCCUCCAGUCUGGCCCUGUGGCUGCAGUGACAGACAUGAGGACAGAGGGCUGAGAGGGUAGGAGCAAGGGUCCUCCACCCUGAGGAGUUGGGAGAGACAUGAGCGCAGCUAAGCGUGGGCUCCACGGAGUGUGGAGGGAGUGGGGGGAAGACGGCAGCAGGAGACCAGUCUGCAGAAGCCAGAUCAAAGGCAGGUGGAGUGGGGCCUUGAACUCAGACAGGCCCAGCUCAUCUCCUGACUGGCUGUCAGGUCUUAGGGCCAACUGGAAACCCUCAGACUGAGCUCCAGGGAACACACAGGAGUCACAACUACAUACACCUUCUCGGUGGACAAGCCCACAGGCUGUGUGUAUAAUCAAAGGGGCCAGAGGACGAGGCCAAUCCAAGGAGGGAAGAGCCUAGGCCGGGCCUAAGGCCAGAAUGAUGCCAGCGCCCCAACACCCAGGAAGCCAAGCCAGCAUCCAACCCCAUACCCAGGAAGCCAGGGCUUUCGUAAAAGUUCUGGUGGGAAGGAAGCUUCAACUAAGUCAAGUAACGCAAACUUAACAGGAUGCCCACUAGGCACGAGGCCCUGUGCUGGGCAGGACAAUACUAAGGGGAGCUAUGGCCUGAGAAGGUAGCGUUCCUGGAAGCCAGCUUACCACCAGCCAGCCUGCCCUAGGCCAUACAGAGUACAAGGAAACCAAGGACUCUGCCCUCACACUGCUGUCAGACAGACGCCUACUCAUUACAGAGAAUAAUGUGGGCCAAGUCUGUCCUGGCUGCUUGACCAUGCUGCGGGGAGGCCUCAGACAGCCCCUGUGACAGAGCCUGGAGUCCUCUACUGGCUGGGAAAGGGAAGGGAAGUGAGUUUCAGACAGAGGACAGCUCAAGCAACCAAGGGAAGUACAUGUACUUAGUGACCUUACACCUGCUAACGAGCUGAAGACACCAGCAGCUCGUUUUAGAGAUGAGAGAAAAGAGUGGCAAAGAGGCUCUGAGCUGCCCCAGGACCACUCAACUUUUCAAAAGCCAGCUUUCCCAAUCCCCUAUCCCAGCGCUUCUUAGAAGCUUCUCAAACUCUGAGGACAUAAUGAUAAAGCCUUGGCCCAAACUGUGACAAAGCUUCCCCAAGUGAUGUUCUUACCUGUGACCUGGACAUCAUCCUCUUCCACAGCUACUCCUAACCUUUACCAGCUCCUUAAACUGUUUCCUCCUCCCCGAGGACAAAUACCUCGUCGGAGACCCCUUCUCUCCUCCCAGCCAGUCUCCCAGGCCAGCCCAACCCCUCCAUCACCAGCCAAACCUUGCCGAAUCAAUCUUGCCUUCUCUCUUAUACCGUGAACCCCUCUAGCCACCCUGGGUCCUUCCCCUCAACCUAGACACAUGCUCGUGUAUGAUCCAGUUUAGAAAAGUGCUCCCUGGACCUGUGUGUCCUCUCCA